rnacentral:misc_RNA from 1 species
GGUUAGAGCGCGCGCUUGAUAAGCGUGAGGUCGGAAGUUCAAGUCUUCCCAGGCCCACCACACUCAUCGAGUGAGCAUUCGUCUUCUGGUUACGGGGCCAUAGCUCAGCUGGGAGAGCGCGUGCUUUGCAAGCAUGAGGUCGUCGGUUCGAUCCCGUCUGGCUCCACCAGAUGGUUUGAUCACCGACUACUCAUACCGUCGUCCGCGAAACAUCACUUCGCACUUACUAGUCCGGAUGGACAGUAAGCUGCGUGAUUUCUGACAUCGUAAAGAGGAGAUCGAUCCGAGUUGGAUCGGGCAACAAGUAAUUGUUGCGCGAUACUUCAUUAUCUCCGGAUCAUUUCGGCGCUCGUGCGUCUUCCAGGGUAGCUCACAAGGCUGCGUCUGAAGGACACGCGAGUUGUAAAUGAUCCUUUUAGCGAAGCUUGACCGCCUCGCUAUCGGAACGAUCUUACGAAGCAAGCUGGUCUUUCUAAUCAUUGUCCGGCUGCAGAUAGCGUUCAUCGAGGGCGCGUGCCUUAGAGACUUAGGUUUCUUGGCAAUUCUGCAGACAACAUUCUGCCGAGUGUGUGGACAUUGAUAAUGAGAGCAAUCAAGUGCCUUAAGGGUGUUCGGUGGAUGCCUUGGCGCUGAGAGGCGAUGAAGGACGUGCUACGCUGCGAUAAGCCGUGGGGAGCUGCGAAGAAGCUUUGAUCCAUGGAUUUCC